rnacentral:rRNA from 1 species
CCUACGGGUGGCAGCAGUGGGGAAUAUUGGACAAUGGGCGCAAGCCUGAUCCAGCCAUACCGCGUGUGUGAAGAAGGCCUUCGGGUUGUAAAGCACUUUAAGUAAGGAAGAAAAGAGUAUUGUUAAUACCAAUACUCCGUGACAUUACUUACAGAAUAAGGACCGGCUAAUUCCGUGCCAGCAGCCGCGGUAAUACGGAAGGUCCAAGCGUUAAUCGGAAUUACUGGGCGUAAAGCGCGCGUAGGUGGUUUAUUAAGUUGGGUGUGAAAGCCCCGGGCUCAACCUGGGAACUGCAUCCAAAACUGAUUCACUAGAGUACGAAAGAGGAAAGUAGAAUUCACAGUGUAGCGGUGGAAUGCGUAGAUAUUGUGAAGAAUACCGAUGGCGAAGGCAGCUUUCUGGUUCUGUACUGACACUGAGGUGCGAAAGCGUGGGUAGCG